AAGCUGCUGCAUGGUACACUCACCUGCACACAGUAAUUAACUCCAUUAAUGAUCGAGUCUCCAAGAAAUUUGAAGGACUCUACAUAAAUGAAUUUUCUUGUAUGAAUAUUUAGCACUAAGACUGAGAAUUAAUCAGAAUUGAAAGGCAAUAAAAACCCAAUCGGAAGUUAUUUCUUCAAUUCUCCCUAUUGAUCCAUGGAAGAGGAAAGAUCAAAAGCGAAGAAGAAUGGGUUCUUGAAGAAGUGGGCAUAUGAAUGGCUAAUUGAUGAGCUUUUACUAGAUGAAAAAUUCUAAUAGGUUUGUAUUAAUUAGCUAAAAUUGGGUGAAAAGUUCCUCAGGAAAAUGGGUUAUUUGAUGUAAACAAAAGGGCAAGAAUCAAAAGUUGCAGAAUGGGUUAUCUCUCUUUAAUCUUCUUGGGUAGGGUGUCUUGUUUAGAAGAAUAAAUAGCCCAAAUUGAGAUCUUCAAUUUCUUUUCCGUAUCAGCUAAAGAAACAUGGUCUCUGAGCAGCACUUUGACGGUGCGGUAGUAUAUUAGCAAGGGAAAGGCGAGCCGCACGCACACACAGAGAAAGAGAGUGAAUCAAGUGGUGAAGGAGUUGUCUUCAUCAAAAAUUUGACAGUAAAUGCUUGUUUCGACGUCAAAUAAUCCUCUAUUCACGCGCAAAUACACUAAAAAAGAACCACAAUAAUCUCUCUUCUCAGUGGGCUGUAGCAGCAAUAGAUGACCUUCAGGUCUGACUUUUCUUUGACUGCAAAAGAUGAAGAAAAAGAAAAGUCCAACGAUGGAGACCUGACUCUAACAAAAACAAGAAACCCCAGAAGCAAAAUUAAUACAAUUUUUUUUAGUCAAAAAUAGCACGAGACCCUGAUUAGCAGAGUUGCAGAGGGUAGCUUUUAUCAGGAUCUAAUGUAUAUGUUUGUUUCUUUCUUUAUUGUUUAGAAAUACAAAGGAAAGGAGAGAAUCAGAAGCAAAAACAGAGAACAAAACAAAUCAAAAACAAAAAUACUUGAUUUAGAAAUAAGUGGCUAAUAAGAACCCAAAAGAGAACAGAUCCCAUUAAAGAUGAUGAUAAGAGUUAGAUAUACCGCAAGAACAAUAUUGCAAAAG
rnacentral:misc_RNA from 1 species